ncrna:Nicotiana tabacum cultivar TN90 Ntab-TN90_scaffold2284, whole genome shotgun sequence
GUGUAAGUAUGAAUUAAUUCAGAUAGUGAAACACCGAAUUGAUUCAUUAUAUCAGCUAUAGUUUGUUUGAUGGUAUCUACUACUUGAAUAACCGUAGUUUCUAGAGUUAAUACAUGCAACAAAACCCGAAUUUUGGAAGGGAUGCAUUCAUUAGAUAAAAGGUUGACGCGGGCUCUGCCUGUUGCUACGCUGAUUCCUGUUGCUGCAAUGGUUCAUGAUAACUCGACGUAUCGCACGACUAUCGUGCCAGCGACGCAUCAUUCAAAUUUUUUCCUAUCAACUUUCGGUGGUAGGAUAAUGGCCUACUGUCACAGGGUCGAUCUUUUAUAUCCGAG